AACGAACGCUGGCGGCAUGCCUAACACAUGCAAGUCGAACGAGACCUUCGGGUCUAGUGGCGCACGGGUGCGUAACGCGUGGGAACCUGCCCUUAGGUUCGGAAUAACUCCCCGAAAGGGGUGCUAAUACCGGAUAAUGUCUUAGGACCAAAGAUUUAUCGCCUUUGGAUGGGCCCGCGUUGGAUUAGCUAGUUGGUAGGGUAAAAGCCUACCAAGGCGACGAUCCAUAGCUGGUCUGUGAGGAUGAUCAGCCACACUGGGACUGAGACACGGCCCAGACUCCUACGGGAAGCAGCAGUGGGGAAUAUUGGACAAUGGGCGAAAGCCUGAUCCAGCAAUGCCGCGUGAGUGAUGAAGGCCUUAGGGUUGUAAAGCUCUUUUACCCGGGAUGAUAAUGACAGUACCGGGAGAAUAAGCUCCGGCUAACUCCGUG
rnacentral:rRNA from 1 species